GCAUUAAUGGGGUAGUGGUAACCUGGGUCGUUGCCAUCGACCCGCCGCGAGUUCGAUUCUCGCUUAAUGCA
rnacentral:tRNA from 2 species